GACGAACCGUGCGAACGUUAUUCGGAAUCACUGGGCUUAAAGCGCGUGUAGGCGGGUCGCUGCGUCGGCUGCUGAAAUCCCCCGGCUCAACCGGGGAACGGGCACCGAUACGAGCGGCCUGGAGGGGGGUAGGGGGGUCUGGAACUUCCGGUGGAGCGGUGAAAUGCGUUGAGAUCGGAAGGAACGCCCGUGGCGAAAGCGAGGCCCUGGACCCUUUCUGACGCUGAGACGCGAAAGCCAGGGGAGCGAACAGG
rnacentral:rRNA from 1 species